rfam:Agaricus bisporus var. burnettii JB137-S8 unplaced genomic scaffold AGABI1scaffold_6, whole genome shotgun sequence.
GGGCGCUUGGCCUAGUGGUAUGGCGUAUGCUUUGCACCUAAAUGUGUAACAAUAAGCCAUUGCUUAUAAAUCUGUAUAAGAUCACGAGUUCGAUCCUCGUAGCGUCCA